AAACACGGGUGCAGCAGGCGCGAAAACUGCACAAUGUGGGAAACCACGAUGCGGGAAACCCAAGUGUCAGCACUAUGUGUUGACUGUCCUCGAGUGUUCGUAACUCGGGAAGAAAGUGCUGGGUAAGACGGGUGCCAGCCGCCGCGGUAAUACCCGCAGCACAAGUGGUGGUCAUUAUUAUUGGGCCUAAAGCGUCCGUAGCAGGCUUGUUAGAUGCCUGGGUAAAUCGAUGCGCUCAACGCAUCGACUUCCGGGUAGACCGGCAAGCUCGAGACCGGGAGAGGCGUGGGCUACUCGAGGGGUAGGGGUAAAAUCCUGUAAUCCUUCGGGGAGGACCAGUGGCGAAGGCGCCACGCUAGAACGGCUCUGACUGUGAGGGACGAAGCCCUGGGGCGCAAACCGGAUUAGAUACCCGGGUAGUCCCAGCUGUAAACUAUGCAAACUCAGUGAUGCAUUGGCUUGUGGCCAAUGCAGCGCUGCAGGGAAGCCGUUAAGUUUGCCGCCUGGGAAGUACGUACGCAAGUAUGAAACUUAAAGGAAUUGGCGGGGGAGCACGU
rnacentral:rRNA from 1 species